UACGUAGGGUGCGAGCGUUAAUCGGAAUUACUGGGCGUAAAGCGCGUGCAGGCGGUUUUUAAGUUUUGUGUGAAAUCCCUCGGCUCAACCGAGGAACGGCACAAAAUACUGGAAGACUAGAGUACAGGAGAAGAGGGCGGAAUUCCCAGUGUAGAGGUGAAAUUCGUAGAUAUUGGGAGGAACACCGGAGGCGAAAGCGGCUCUCUAGACUGAUACUGACGCUCAUACGCGAAAGCGCGGGGAUCAAACAGGAUUAGAUACCCGGGUAGU
rnacentral:rRNA from 1 species